CCUACGGGGGGCAGCAGUGAGGAAUAUUGGUCAAUGGUCGGGAGACUGAACCAGCCAAGCCGCGUGAGGGAGGAAGGUACAGAGUAUCGUAAACCUCUUUUGUCAGGGAACAAAGACUGGGACGCGUCCCCGGAGGAGUGUACCUGAAGAAAAAGCAUCGGCAAACUCCGUGCCAGCAGCCGCCGUAAUACGGAGGUUGCGAGCGUUAUCAGGAUUUAUUGGGGUAAAGGGGUGCGCAGGCGGUCUGUUAAGUCAGAGGUCAAAGCCCGGGGCCAAACCCGGGCCCGCCGUUGAAACUGGCAGUCUCGAGUUGGAGAGAAGUAUGCGGAAUGCGCGGUGUAGCGGUGAAAUGCAUAGAUAUCGCGCAGAACUCCGAUUGCGAAGGCAGCAUGCCGGCUCCACACUGACGCUGAGGCACGAAAGCGUGGGUAUCGAACAGGAUUAGAUACCCCGGUAGUC
rnacentral:rRNA from 1 species